rnacentral:tRNA from 1 species
GUAGGCAUAGUUUAAAUAAAGCGUCAGAUUGUGAUUCUGAAGACUGAGGUUGAAAUCCUCCUGCCCACC